UACGUAGGGGGCAAGCGUUGUCCGGAAUCAUUGGGCGUAAAGAGCGUGUAGGCGGCCAGAAAAGUCCGCUGUGAAAACUCGAGGCUCAACUUCGAGCUGUCGGUGGAAACUUUCUGGCUAGAGUCCGGAAGAGGAGAAUGGAAUUCCUGGUGUAGCGGUGAAAUGCGCAGAUAUCGGGAGGAACACCGGUGGCGAAGGCGGUUCUCUGGGCCUUACCUGACGCUGAGGAGCGAAA
rnacentral:rRNA from 1 species